GUUGCACAAAACAAAAUAUGUUACAAAAUAGUAUGGUGUCGAAUAUCUUUAACACGUACGCAUUCACUGAUAUCCAGCAUUGCAUUUAGACAUAACGUCGUUUUAAAUAUUGUCAUUCUUUCUGAUUAAUCAUCCUUUUGAUUCGGUUCAAUCACUGAAAAUGAUGCUACUGUAUAGUUUUGUAAUAUGCAUGGUUUCGAAUUUAGCAUCUGCUGGUGUACUUGAAGACUUGAUAUACGAAAUGGAAAAGCGUCAAUCAUAUAAACCGGCAUUUCUUGUAACAUUAUCUAAAACUGUCAACUUAAGAAAGAAUCACGUAGUAAAGUUUGAUGCUAUACAAACAAACAUCGGAGGUGGUUAUGACGCAAUUUCUGGAGUGUUUACUGUUCCAUGAAAAGGCACAUACGAAUUUGCAGUGAAUUUCAUUGCCAGUAAUGAUAGGAACGAGUGGCUCGAAUUAGAUCUGAUUGAACAACAUAGUUGUUGUAAGGGGACAUGCUGCUUAUGAUAAAUAUACAUCGGGAUCUCUUCAAACCAUCCUUGAACUGAACGAAGGCGAUCGCAUCUGGGUCAGUCAUCCACGAAGUUGAGGGCAGCUUUAUGGUGAUAAUUUCACGAUGUUUUCUGGCCAUUAUAUAUAAGUGAGAUGCACCAAAUAAAAAAUCAUCGAAUAAUUUGAUGGUCUUUCUUCUUUUAAAUACACUUGAGAUAUUAAUUUACAACUAUCAGA